AUGGCCGCCGACGCCAGGUCGCUACUCCGCUCCUGUUCCUCCGUUCUCCGCGCUGCUCCGGCGAGACCGUCUUCCAUCGGCCUAGGUGGGCGUCGUUCCGCCCACCGCCUGUUGUCUGCGCCCCCUCGCAUUCUCAGGUUGCCCGUGGAGGUGUGCUUCUGCCUGGAGUCGCUGCUGCCGCUGCACAGCGCCACCGCCGCCGCACUGCUCAAGUCAAUGCUCGCCGUUGUGCCCGGCCAAGGCAUCGGCUGGAUCGUUGAAGAUAAUUGA
rnacentral:rRNA from 1 species